CUGCUGCCACUCCCUGAAUGGCUCUCUCCUUCUCUCUCCCUGUGUGUGUGUGAUUGUCUGCACGUGUGCCACAGUCAGAGCAGAGCCACACCAGCUGCACCUCAUCUCAAUCAAGACCUCUACAAAUAUUCAGCUCUGCCACUUCUACUCUGCCAGAUCGUAGACUCUGCCACUUUCCUGCUUACUCUGACUCAGGUCCCUGUUCCCUGUCCCUGGUCUGCUCAUCCCUGCUGUUCUGCCUUGGAUCCCUGCACUACUCAGCCUCCUCGGAUUCCACUCCGGACCUGCUUCCUUGGCCCCUAACUGCCCCUGCCCCAGCCUCAGUUCCUGGCUCUCAGCCACCAGCUCAAACUUCCCCUAGCCUGCAGCCCAUCUUCUCGGUGCUCAGCAAUAAAUAUCUGUUUACCUUC